GACGAAUGCUGGCGGCGUGCUUAACACAUGCAAGUCGAACGGAAAGGCCCUGCUUUUGUGGGGUGCUCGAGUGGCGAACGGGUGAGUAACACGUGAGUAACCUGCCCUUGACUUUGGGAUAACUUCAGGAAACUGGGGCUAAUACCGGAUAGGAGCUCCUGCUGCAUGGUGGGGGUUGGAAAGUUUCGGCGGUUGGGGAUGGACUCGCGGCUUAUCAGCUUGUUGGUGGGGUAGUGGCUUACCAAGGCUUUGACGGGUAGCCGGCCUGAGAGGGUGACCGGCCACAUUGGGACUGAGAUACGGCCCAGACUCCUACGGGAGGCAACAGUGGGGAAUAUUGCACAAUGGGCGGAAGCCUGAUGCAGCAACGCCGCGUGCGGGAUGACGGCCUUCGGGUUGUAAACCGCUUUCGCCUGUGACGAAGCGUGAGUGACGGUAAUGGGUAAAGAAGCACCGGCUAACUACGUG
rnacentral:rRNA from 1 species